rnacentral:rRNA from 1 species
AAAGAAACUAACAAGGAUUCCCCUAGUAACGGCGAGUGAAGCGGGAAGAGCACAAAUUUAAAAUCUACCUGGUUUCCAGGUCGAGUUGUAAAUUGAAGAUACGUUUUUGAUGUUCCAGGUUGGACUAAAUCCUUUGGAAUAAGGUAUCAUGGAGGGUGAGAAUCCCAUAUAUACCAACCGUAGGGAUGUUAUUAAUACGUUUUCAAGAGUCGAGUUGUUUGGGAAUGCAGCUCUAAAUGGGUGGUAAAUUUCACCUAAUGCUAAAUAUAAGCGAGAGACCGAUAGCGAACAAGUACAGUGAUGGAAAGAUGAAAAGAACUUUGAAAAGAGAGUUAAAUAGUACGUGAAAUUGUUGAAAGGGAAACGAUUGAAGUCAGUCAUGCCAGUGGGAAUCAACUUAGAGAAACUCUAAGUGCACUUCUUUGCUUGGCAGGUCAAUGUCGAUUUUGGAUGUCAUAAAGUGAUUGGGGGAAGGUAGCUCUUUUGGGAGUGUUAUAGCCUUUGGUAGAUGUGAUGUCUGGGAUCGAGGAUUGCAAUGGAUACCCUUUAGGGCUAGCCAUCUGAUCUCUAAUCAGUAUUGGAUUACGGAUAGCAUGCUGACUGUGAUUCAAUUAUUGGUUAAAGAUUAGAGCGUGCAUAAAUUCAUUAAGGACGUUGACGUAAUGGCUUUAAACGACCC